rnacentral:rRNA from 1 species
UACGUAGGGGGCAAGCGUUGUCCGGAAUCAUUGGGCGUAAAGCGCACGUAGGCGGCCCUGUAAGUCCGUUGUGAAAGUCAAAGGCUCAACCUUUGAAUGCCGAUGGAUACUGCAGGGCUAGAGUCCGGAAGAGGCGAGUGGAAUUCCUGGUGUAGCGGUGGAAUGCGCAGAUAUCAGGAGGAGCACCAAUAGCGAAGGCAGCUCGCUGGGACGGUACUGACGCUAAGGUGCGAAAGCGUGGGGAGCAAACAGG